rnacentral:rRNA from 1 species
AGAGUUUGAUCAUGGCUCAGAACGUACGCUGGCGGCACGCCUAACACAUGCAAGUCGAACGAAGUAGCAAUACUUAGUGGCAGACGGGUGAGUAACAUGUAGGUAUCUGCCCUUUGGCCUGGAAUAACACGAGGAAACUUGUGCUAAUACCGGAUAAGUCUUUACGGAGAAAGCUUUAUGCACCAUUGGAUGAGCCUGCACUUGAUUAGUUUGUUGGUGGGGUAAUGGCCUACCAAGACUGUGAUCAAUAGCUGAUUUGAGAGGAUGAUCAGCCACAUUGGGACUGAGACACGGCCCAAACUCCUACGGGAGGCAGCAGUGGGGAAUCUUGCACAAUGGAGGAAACUCUGAUGCAGCGAUGCCGCGUGAGUGAAGAAGGCCCUUGGGUUGUAAAGCUCUUUCGUCGGGGAAGAAAAUGACUGUACCCGAAUAAGAAGGUCCGGCUAACUUCGUGCCAGCAGCCGCGGUAAUACGAAGGGACCUAGCGUAGUUCGGAAUUACUGGGCUUAAAGAGUUCGUAGGUGGUUGAAAAAGUUAGUGGUGAAAUCCCAGAGCUUAACUCUGGAACUGCCAUUAAAACUUUUCAGCUAGAGUAUGAUAGAGGAAAGCAGAAUUUCUAGUGUAGAGGUGAAAUUCGUAGAUAUUAGAAAGAAUACCAAUUGCGAAGGCAGCUUUCUGGAUCAUUACUGACACUGAGGAACGAAAGCAUGGGUAGCGAAGAGGAUUAGAUACCCUCGUAGUCCAUGCCGUAAACGAUGUGUGUUAGACGUUGGAAAUUUAUUUUCAGUGUCGCAGGGAAACCGAUAAACACACCGCCUGGGGAGUACGACCGCAAGGUUAAAACUCAAAUGAAUUGACGGGGACCCGCACAAGUAGUGGAGCAUGUGGUUUAAUUCGAAGAUACGCGCAGAACCUUACCAACACUU